rnacentral:rRNA from 1 species
GUGUGGAAUAUUGGACAAUGGGCGAAAGCCUGAUCCAGCCAUGCCGCGUGUGUGAAGAAGGUCUUCGGAUUGUAAAGCACUUUAAGUUGGGAGGAAGGGUAGUAACCUAAUACGUUGCUACUUUGACGUUACCGACAGAAUAAGCACCGGCUAACUUCGUGCCAGCAGCCGCGGUAAUACGAAGGGUGCAAGCGUUAAUCGGAAUUACUGGGCGUAAAGCGCGCGUAGGUGGUUCAGUAAGUUGGAAGUGAAAUCCCCGGGCUCAACCUGGGAACUGCUUUCAAAACUGCUGAGCUAGAGUACGGUAGAGGGUGGUGGAAUUUCCUGUGUAGCGGUGAAAUGCGUAGAUAUAGGAAGGAACACCAGUGGCGAAGGCGACCACCUGGACUGAUACUGACACUGAGGUGCGAAAGCGUGGGGAGCAAACAGGAUUAGAAACCCUAGUAGUCC